CCGCUACUGUACGAGUUCUCAGGGCAGCCACCGGCCGGGCAGAUUUAUGGGGGCGCGUCACGGCUACGCCAGGUCCCGCCGCCGGAGCACCUCGAAGUUAAUUAAAGCGGGGCUAGUGGCGAGGUUAAACUGCUGGAAAGCGGUCGCUUCCAUCCCAGCACCAAAAGAACAGAGCCCAGAGCUUGCAGGGGCCACCAAGAGGAGCCAGAAAAGUGUGCCAACACAGUCUGCAGGAUGGAGAUGGAGAAAUCGUGCUGCUUGUCUUGUAUGAGCCCUGAAUCCAGCCACAUCUGAAGCCAGCUCCACCCUGGCGCCUUUCUGUUUUCUCAGCAAAAUGAAAACUCUACUGUGGACGGGUGCAUCUUUCCCCAGCCCCCCAUCAGAAAACUGCCUUCUCAGGAUGGGCAGGACAUCAGCAUCUCUCCUUUUGCCUUCAGCUGCCUGUUCUAAGGCUUACCUUCCAGGUGAUUGCAGCUGAGAAGUUGGAUGUUGUCCCUUGCCUCUUCCCACUCCCCACUCAUGAGUUGGAAGCUUUAUUAAAAGUGUGAUAUGCUGGGAAUACUAUGAUUUAAAUUACCCUACCCUGGCUCAUUUGUAGUUCACAGAUCAGAGGUUCCAAGCCAGGAGAGGCAAACCAAAACAUUCUGACGCUAUUUUCUCUCCCUUCACUAAGUGCUCAGCUUCUGAAGUGGGGAUGUCCCACAGAGAGAAGUGUGCCAUUCUUUCAACUCUCAGCCCCAGAGCCAUGUAUGAUAGAUUUUUGCCUGGGGGAAGCAGCAAGACUUAAAAAAGAGCCCUGAAUCUUUUUUCAAAGAAACUGACCUCAUUUGUAACAUGGUACGGACUUCAAGCCUAAUGACACCCUCAAAAACAAUGGAGGUUGUGGUAAAAGGCAAAUGAAAGGAGACUGGCAGAAUCACUGGAGAGAUAAGCUAAACUGCCAGCCAGUUAGUUUGCUAGAAAGAUUCAAAAAGGAAGACAAGUGAGAGGACCUCCUAGGUUCAGAACAAAUCUCACACAUUGACCUCAAUAACUAUCCCUUCAAAGGGACUCCCAACUUUAUUGGAUCAGUUUAUUCCAACUUACGUUCAAGAGAAUUUUUUAAAAAAACAAUGAAGACGCAAUCAGGUGGCAGUUAGUGGUGGUGAUUGUAUGCUAGGGUGGCUGGGAAAAGAGACAGUCAAAGUGAGUCCUUCCAAAGCCACUAUCAUCCCCGGGUGACUAUAGUCAUACCCAAGACUGCCCCCUACCUCCCAAGGAGUGACAUCAGAAGCUUCAUACUGUGGGAAGUGGGAAACAACAGACUUCAUUAAAACAAUCCAGCCAGUCAUCAAACAAAUAAAAAAAUAAUUUAAAAGCCCCAGAGAAGGAAAGAGCAAUACCCAGAGUUGCUAUAAUAUAGUAUUUAAAAUGUCCAGUUUACAGAAAAAAAUUAAAACAUGCAAAGAAACAUAAAAGUAUAACACACACACCAGAAACUGCUUGAGAGAAUGACCAGAUGUCAAAUUUAUCAGAAAGAGUAUUCAAAAUAGCCAUUAUAAAUAUGUUCAAAGAACUGAAGGAAACCAUGACUUAAAAAGUAAGGGAAAUACAUUAUAUGUUCAUAUUAAACAGGGGCUAUUCAUAAAGAAAUAGAAAUUAUUCUAAAAUAAUCAAAUGAAAAUUCUGAAGUUAAAAAGUACAAUAAGUUAAAUGAAAAAUAUACGAGAGGGGAUCCACAAUAGAUUUUAACUGGCAGAAAAAAUAAUUAAUAAACUUGAAGACAGAUCAAUGGAGAUUAUGCAAUCUGUAGAACAGAGAGAAAACAUAAUUUUAAAAAUAAACAGAGCCUCUGAGAUGUUGGUGAGACACCAUUAUGCACACUAAUAUACAUGUAAUGAGAGUACCAAACAUAGAGGAGAGAGAAAAAAAGCAGAAAAUAAUAUUCAAGGAAAUAAUGGCUAAAGAUGCCCCAAAUUUAUUGAAAAUUAAUCUAUACAUCUAGAAAAUUUAAUGAACUCUAAGUAGGUAGAUUAACACAAAUCCAGACACAUCACAAUAAAAAAAAUGCUAAAAGUGAAAGGAGAAAAUCUUGAAAGCAUCAAGAGAAAAAUGACUCAUCACUUCUAAGGAAAUUCCAGUAAGUUUAAGAGCUGACUUUUUAACAGAAAUGAAAAAGGCCAGAAGACAGUGCUCAAAAUGCACAAAGAAAAAAAAAACUGUCAACUAUGAAUUCUAUAUCCACCAAAGCUAUCUCCUAAAACUAAAGGUGACAGUCAUGUAUUCCCAGAUAAACACAAGCAGAGAGAAUUUGCUGCUAACCGAUACCUUACAAAAAAUCCUAAGGUCAGAAGUUAUUCAGGUUAAAAGUAUGUGACUACUGGCAGUAAUCUGAAUCCAGGAGAAAAAAAAACACUACUAAUAAAGGUAACUAUGUAAUUACAGAAUGCAGUAUAAAUGUAUACUUUUCUCCUUUCUUAAGAGGCUUAAAAAGCAACUGUAUAAAACAAUAUUUACAUUUAUGGCUUGGCCUAUAGCAUAUAGAAAGGAAAUAUACAACAUGAUAAACAAGACCUAAUACAUAUCUACAGAACACUCCACCCAACAAUGAGAGAAUAUAUAUUCUUCUCAAAUGUACAUGAAAUAUUAUUCAGGAUUUACCAUAUGCUAGCCUAUAAAACAAACCCCAAUAAAUUUAAGAGGAUUGAAUAAGACAAAGCAUAUUCUCUAACCACAUAGAAUAGAAUUGGAAGUAUUAUCUGCACAAAAGAAGUGAGCAAGAAUUAAGUUGUAUUCAGCUAAAGAAAUGACUCCAGGUGCUAACUUGAAUCCACAGGAAAAAUUAAAAAUAAGCAGAAAUGAUAAGAAUGUAACAAAAGCUAUAAAUAUAUACUUGAUCUCUUUCAGCUUCUUUAAGAGAGAUACAAUUAUAUAAAUUAAUAAUAGUAAUGUAUAUUUGGGUUUCUAAUACUUAUAGAUGUAAUAUGUAUAACAGUAAUAUAGUAAUGCAUCACUUAAUGAUGAGAAUACAUUCUGAGAAAUGCAUCGUUAGGUGAUUUUGUCCUUGUGCAAACAUCAUAGAUCAUACUUACCCUAAUCUAGAUGAUACAGCCUACUACACAUGUAGGCCACAUUCUAUAGACUUCUGCUUCUAGGGUACAAACCUGUACAGUAUGUGACUUACUGAAUACUGUAAGAAAUUGUAAUACAGUGGUAUUUGUGUAUCUAACCAUAUGUAAACAUAGAAGAAGUAUAGUAAAAGUAUGCUAUGAAAGAAAGGAAAGAAACAGUACACAAUUGUAUAGGGCACGUAUCACAAAUGGAACUUUCAGAACUGAAAGUUGCUCUGGAUGAGUUGGUGAGUGAGUGAUGAGUGAAUAUGAAGGCUCAGGACAUCACUGUACACUACUGUAGACUUUAUA